rnacentral:rRNA from 1 species
UACGGAGGAUGCAAGCGUUAUCCGGAUUUAUUGGGUUUAAAGGGUGCGUAGGCGGAGAUUUAAGUCAGUGGUGAAAUGUUGCAGCUCAACUGUAACACUGCCAUUGAUACUGAGUUUCUUGAGUUCGGUUGAAGUAGGCGGAAUGUGUAAUGUAGCGGUGAAAUGCUUAGAUAUUACACAGAACACCGAUUGCGUAGGCAGCUUACUAAGCCGACACUGACGCUGAGGCACGAAAGCGUGGGGAUCGAACAGG